GAUGAAGAACGUAGCGAAAUGCGAUAACUAAUGUGAAUUGCAGAAUUCAGUGAAUCAUCGAGUCUUUGAACGCACAUUGCGCCCCCUGGUAUUCCGGAGGGCAUGCCUGUCCGAGCGUCAUUGCUGCCCUCAAGCACGGCUUGUGUGUUGGGCUCCGUCCCCCCGGGGACGGGCCCGAAAGGCAGCGGCGGCACCGAGUCCGGUCCUCGAGCGUAUGGGGCUUUGUCACCCGCUCUGUAGGCCCGGCCGGCGCCAGCCGACAACCCAUCAUCCUUUUCAGGUUGACCUCGGAUCAGGUAGGGAUACCCGCUGAACUUAAGCAUAUCAAUAAGCGGAGGA
rnacentral:misc_RNA from 1 species